GAGGCUUUGAAGCGUGGACGCCAGUCUGCGUGGAGCCAACCUUGAAAUACCACCCUUUAAUGUUUGAUGUUCUAACGUUGGCCCCUGACCGGGGUUGCGGACAGUGUCUGGUGGGUAGUUUGACUGGGGCGGUCUCCUCCCAAAGCGUAACGGAGGAGCACGAAGGUUAGCUAAUCCUGGUCGGACAUCAGGAGGUUAGUGCAAUGGCAUAAGCUAGCUUGACUGCGAGCGUGACGGCGCGAGCAGGUGCGAAAGCAGGUCAUAGUGAUCCGGUGGUUCUGAAUGGAAGGGCCAUCGCUCAACGGAUAAAAGGUACUCCGGGGAUAACAGGCUGAUACCGCCCAAGAGUUCAUAUCGACGGCGGUGUUUGGCACCUCGAUGUCGGCUCAUCACAUCCUGGGGCUGAAGUAGGUCCCAAGGGUAUGGCUGUUCGCCAUUUAAAGUGGUACGCGAGCUGGGUUUAGAACGUCGUGAGACAGUUCGGUCCCUAUCUGCCGUGGGCGCUGGAGAAUUGAGGGGGGCUGCUCCUAGUACGAGAGGACCGGAGUGGACGCAUCACUGGUGUUCGGGUUGUCAUGCCAAUGGCACUGCCCGGUAGCUAAAUGCGGAAGAGAUAAGUGCUGAAAGCAUCUAAGCACGAAACUUGCCCCGAGAUGAGUUCUCCCUGAGACUUUAAGUCUCCUGAAGGAACGUUGAAGACGACGACGUUGAUAGGCCGGGUGUGUAAGCGCAGCGAUGCGUUGAGCUAACCGGUACUAAUGAACCGUGAGGCUUAACCUUACAACGCCGAAG
rnacentral:rRNA from 1 species